GAGUAAGGCAUAAAUGUAAAAAUAAAGGAGUAUGGGGCUACUAUCACAAGUUCAAAUUAGUUGGCUCUGCUAUUUGAAACCCUCAGAAGUCCAGGAACCCUUAGAAUUUGGGUAGUCCCGUGCCCCACUGUAGGCAAUGAGUGUUUUUGUUGGCAUCUUGUUGAUGAGACAGGGGUAAAACAUGGAAAAAGCAGUAUCUCGUUUGUGUAGUGGAUGGCUGGUAUCAUCUUCUGGAGUAAUAUGUGGGCCACGGGGGCCAGCCCAGGAGGACUGUAAGCUCCUUGUAGUUUGUCCUCUUCUCUAGACUUUGGGAAGCAUGCUAGGUAUCGAGAGUCCGAGUAUGUGUGCUAGCUAGGGCCUCAGAGGAAGCGCUGGCUGCUGGGAAAGAGAGGUGUCAGGACUCCUCACACUGGGCCACAAUGGUUCCAGACCGCGAGGGCUUCAUCCGUGAAGUGGAAUUACAACGCAGCCUCUGUUGAAACGGGCUGUGAUGGCUGUGGGCAGUUGAGUAGGAAAGCACCAAGAGCCAGGGGCUUAGCUUGGGUCAAUAAACGACAGCCGACUGGCUAGGAGAAAGCCAGCAUUGUGAGGGUCCAACGGCAGUCGGCCGCGGGAGAGCCACAACUGGAACGGGAUCCUGUCAGAGCAGUGUGUCAUAUUUGUUCUGGCAGCUUCUUUGGUAAAGCCACGCUAAGCUCCAUCUGGGAUACUGUCAGGCCCGACUCAAACAAUUGUUUAUAAAGUGGGCAAAAUCGGGCUUUAGCAGUCGGCCCUCCAGCCACCACAGCUCUCCUUUUCUCCUGGAGGUAAAGCUGCCAGACUUCUCCUGGAGCAGCACAGACAGCAGUUACGGUGAAGGUUCCAGAAUUCAAGGGCCUUCGUUUGAAAUGGAGCUUCGCCGCCAUUGAGUUCAUUUCCUGGGAACCUUACUGUGUCCCAUGACAGAAGCCCACAUGGUGAUGCCUUACAAAUUAAGAACUCACCUUUCUUCAGUUCUGCAUGAAGAGGAGAUGGUCCAGAGGAUGUGGCAAUGAUACAGAUACAACCAGAGAAGAAGUUGGUGUUCUUUUCUAAACCAUGGUAAAAAUAACAGGACAUCAUGUAGGAUGAGCGAGUACCAGAAGUUUAGAGGGUGAUGUCCAAGAAAUAAAAGAAUGCUCCAGGAGUCUGAGAUGAAUUCUCCACAGAUCCUUACCCGUCUGGAAGAUUAUGUAUGCCUGGGGGAGUCUCAAAAGAACCGAGGAAACGUAAACAUGAAGGAGGAUUGAGAAAAGGCUGCAAUGUUCUCUGUCCCUCAUACAGACCUAGAGGAAAAUUAUGGCAACCUGGCUGGUCCUGGGCCAGUGCUGUUCCCUUGGCUCUAUACAUCUAAGGCAUCGAAGACUCCCAAGGAUACGGAGUGACUCUGGGUAUCAGCUUAGCACAUGUUAUUUUAGGUGUUUCAACAGUGACACCAUUGAGGUAGUGUGGCUUAGUGAAGGAAUGUGGGCUUGGACGGGAUAGAAUGGGGUUGUCAUUCCACAGUUAUAAGUUAAUAUUCUUAUUAACUUGGGCAAUCAUGUGACUACUCAGUAUCCUAUUUAAAUCUUAUAAAUGCCCACUGAAGUAGGCAUGGACUACUUCUGUGUUGUGGAUACUUUUUAAGUCUGCGGAAUAGUUAUUUUGGGUGAUGAUUAAAAAGUCAUAAUGGCUAUAAAGUAUGUGUCACAUGAUAGGUGACCUAUAAAUAGCUGUAUUGUUGCUGUUAGUCCUGGUGUAGAAAAGAACUGUCAGACCGAUAAGCCCAGAGAAUUUAACCUCUCAGAGAGUCACACGGAAAAACACUGGAUAUUAAUAGUAUAGGUGAAGCAACUACACUGUCUGUAAGUGUCCAACCUUGGCUUUAACAAAUGACUAUAAAGUUUAUGGCUUAAGACAAUGUA
rnacentral:lncRNA from 1 species